GGGCUGGUGUGGCUCAACGCCCUGGACCUGCUGGACCCCAGCGGGGGCUGCGCCGGGGGCGCUGCGGACACCGACCCGGAUGAGGCGCUGCGAGAGUUCGGGUGUCCCCCCUGGGAACAGCCCCCCAGUGUGGAUGAACCACUCAGCCCCCCGGUGACCGCGGAUGACCCCGCUGACCCCGAGCUGGCUCAGGCCGUGGCUGCUGCCCGCGGGGGGGG